CACUACAGCCAUACCACUGUGAACACACCUAAUCCCAUCUGAUCUUGGAAACUAAGCAGGGUCGGGCCUGAUUAGUACUGAAAGCGAGAAAUGUUAGCUCCUUUUCUCU
rnacentral:rRNA from 1 species